rnacentral:rRNA from 1 species
CCCCUAGAUGUUCUGGGCCGCACGCGCGCUACACUGAACAGUUCAACAAGUCUUAACCUUGGCCGAUGGGUCUGGGUAAUCUUUGAACGCUGUUCGUGAUUGGGAUAGACCUUUGCAAUUAUGGGUCUUCAACGAGGAAUUCCUAGUAAACGCAAGUCAUCAGCUUGCAUUGAUUACGUCCCUGCCCUUUGUACACACCGCCCGUCGCACCUACCGAUUGAAUGGUCCGGUGAAAUCUCGGGACGGCGGCUCGGUCGCUUGCGUCCGACUGCUGAAACUUGAUUAAACCAUAUCAUUUAGAGGAAGGUGAAGUCGUAACA